rnacentral:lncRNA from 1 species
GGACGAGAAAGAGAGAAAACGAUUGAUAGCGGCCUCCAAACUUGGUUGCAUAAUGUAAGAUUACAAUAGUUUAUAUAGUGCAAAACUAAGGAAACAUAAUAAGACUAAACUACCCUUAAUCUAAUUAACUUAUUACUUUAAUAUCCCCCCUCAAACUCACGAUACUAAAACAAGGAGCAACGAGAGUUUGAUCAACAAAAAACGUAAAUGAUAAAUCGAAUUUGACUUCGUGGCAAAGUCUAGAAGUUGCAACAACGGAGAGCAACGAAAGGUAGGGAAAUGAUGCCAAACUACAGAUAACUAACGAAACUACACAAUAUUAACUAAACCAAACGGAUGCAAAUUUCAAAUUCCAAAUUCCAAAUGAACUUGACAUAUCAAUUCCAAGAACUGACUAUACCAAAUUCCAAACUCUAGAUAGACUGGACAAACAACUGACUAUACCAAAUUCCAAAUUCCCAAACUCCAGAUAAACUGGACAAACAAUUAACUAUGCCAAAUUCCAAACUCCAGAUAGAUUGGACAAACAAACAAAAUUUCCAAAUCCCAUAAACUGAGCAAACAAACAAAAUUUCCAAAGCUCGUGAACCGGGCAUCAAACGAAAUUUUCAAUCCCACGAACUGGGCACAAAUUUCAAAUUCAAACUCAACAAAUGCUAAAUUCCAGAUACACUGGAUCAACACCAAAACAAAUUUCCAAUCCAAACUAGGUCCAACAUUAAUUAACCGAUCCAAUAAACUGUCUAAUACGCCAAAAGUAACCCAAACCAAUCAACAUCUAAUCUUGACAAAGUCCACUUUUAAAAAUAUCUUGAACUAAAUGGACAACCCACAAUUUUCCACCACAUACUAUCCUUUUAAUCAAAUAGGCCCAAAAGCUUAAAUAAUAUCCAGCAGUCAGCCCACACAAAAUUAGCCCAACUGAAAUUAAGUGCUCAGCAAAGUCCAAUUAAUGAGGAAAUCUUCAUGGCCAAAAUUGAAACACCCAACACCUUAUUCAAGCCCACUAUCCAAUUGAACCCAAUUUCAUACUUCAGUACCCAGAAACCUUCUACAGCCCAUAUAACAAAAUACCCAAUUAACCGGUCCAGAACACCAUAUGGCCCAAUAAACAACCCAUAUAUUAACCAAAACCCACUUUCUUGAAAAUCAAGGUACCCAGCCCAACUAACCAAUCCAUGAAACCCAAAACUUUAUACUAUGGCCCUUAUAAUACUUCAACCCAAUCAUACAAAUCUUAUUUAAUUCAAGCCCAAUUACACAAUAAACCCUUCAAUACAACGUCUCUAAAACAAACCCGAAGCCGCCAACCACAGCUCAGCCACCGGGAUCUGCCAUCUUCACCACAGGCCUUGUCGCCAGUCGCCCCUCAAAAGAAAUCAGAUUGAGCGGCGUCGAUGAAUCUCACAACUCUGACCAACGAACUAAAAAAAAGACAGUAAAACUUUACUGAUUCAGCCCAAAUCGACUCCGAAAACUGCCGUCAAACGUCGAGUUUCACCGUGGUCGGCCACCAUCUCGCCAAAUCAAGCUAACCAUAAGCAGUCGAUUGAAAUUUCCCCGUCGAUCCCCAUCUUAAACCAGUUCACUGCACCCCGCCUAUGGCACCACAUCCGUCUGAUCGUCUCCAUAUCAAGACUCCAUCACCGAACCUCCAUGGCCACAACAACAAUACUCAACCACACAAACAACCUAUAAACCACUGCAUCAAUCUUUGGUUUCAGUCCCUGCCUCUGGGAAGAAAUCACCAAUAGAACUAAAUGGAGACACCACACAAAUGGACGACUACCACAGGUAUUGACCGGAACCGAGGCUGCUGUUGAUCCACGAAACUCACGACGGAGAACUGAAAACUGCCUGUAUCUAUGACUUGAAUCCAAAAAAAAAAAAAAACUGCAAAAAAAAAAAAAAAAUCACACUUUGGCCGGGCGAGCAGCACGAGGCUGCUUGCUGCUCGCCGGAAACGGAAUUCACUAAUUUGUUUUAGAUCAGAAUGGCUCUGAUACCAUGUUAAAAAACAACAGACCAAAGAUAAAAAAACGGAGGAGAAAGAGAGAAAACGAUUGAUAGCGGCCUCCAAACUUGGUUGCAUAAUGUAAGAUUAUAAUAGUUUAUAUAGUGCAAAACUAAGGAAACAUAAUAAGACUAAACUACCCUUAAUCUAAUUAACUUAUUACUUUAACAAGUAGAAGUUACCAUGACAAACACAACUAUUCUCACCUCGUCUCUCUUCUUGUAUCGGUAUAAAAGUUCUUCAAUCCUUGUACAUUUGAGGCCAG